GUACUUUUAAAGCAUAAACUAAUAAAGUUAACCCCCUUACCCAUCCUGCUAACGUAUGUUAGGUACUAAAUUAUAGAAAUAAUAACUAUAGAAAAAAAAUUUGAAAAAAUAUUUGCAAGAUUCCAAUAGAACUCUACUUUCUGUCCGUUUUUCAGAAUCCCUACUACGAGACUAAAAAUACUCAACUAUGUUUUUAAAUACCGUAGCGAACGCCCUGUAAAUAAUAAAUGCUGAUUAGCUUACUUAGCAAAACUGUGGCAAAACAAGUUUUGAUAUAGUGACGUCGUCAUCAUUCUUUGUUGUUUACAUACAUAAGUUUGUUUACAUUAAAAAACGAUAUAUAUGUCAGCAAACGAUAUCGUAAACAAAAGUAAUUUUUUAAUAUCAAAGAACGAAGAGUGAACAUGGUGGGUGCGAAAGUGUUAGUAUUGCUUGUGGUGUGUUUCGCUGUUGUGGAAAUUGAAGGGUUUAGAAGACGCCAGUGCAGAAAUGAUUGCAAAUCUGUGAGAUGCGCUCAGCCUAAAAAUUGCAAAGGCUCAAUUAUUAAAGAUCGUUGCGGGUGCUGCAAGUACUGUGCAAAAGUUGAAGGCGAGCGAUGUAAUCCAUUUACCGCCAGGUGUGACAAAGGUUUACAAUGUCGAAGUCGAGUCUGUAGAAAACCGUGUCCUCGCAAAAGAUGCAAGCCGUGUCAGAAUGGCUACCUGCGAGAUAAGACUGGAUGUCGCACAUGUAAAUGUAGACCCAACACAUGUGUUGCUGUUAAAUGUCCACCAUGUAUCCAUGGUUACCUUAAAGACAAGAAUGGUUGUAAAACAUGCAAAUGUCGACCAAAAGUUUGUCCAUUAAAAGGUUGUAUAAGACGUUGUUCAAAUGGCUAUCUUACAGAUCGAAAUGGAUGCAAUACGUGCAUUUGUAAAGGAAAUGAAUGUCCUCAAGUAUUGUGUAGACGACAUUGCAAAUAUGGAUUUGCUAAAAAUGCUCAAGGCUGCCAGACCUGCACUUGCUUACCAAGAGUAUGUCCUCGAAUACAGUGCAAGCCAUGCCGUUAUGGUUACAUGAAAGAUAGUAAAGGUUGCCAAACUUGUCAAUGUAGACCACGAGUUUGUCCUUUGAGACGUUGUUUGCGACCUUGUCCAAAUGGUUAUGUAACAGAUCGGAAUGGCUGCAAUACGUGCAUUUGCAAACGAAAUGAAUGUCCUCAAGUAUUGUGUAAACGACAUUGCAGAUAUGGAUUUGCUAAAAAUGCUCAAGGUUGCCAGACGUGCACUUGCUUACCAAGAGCAUGUCCUUUGCUCAAGUGCAAACCAUGUCGUUAUGGUUACAUGAAAGAUAGUAAUGGUUGCCAAACUUGUCAAUGUAGACCACGAGGAGUUUGUCCUUUGAGACGUUGUUUGCGACCUUGUCCAAAUGGCUAUCUGACAGAUCGAAAUGGAUGCAAUACGUGCAUUUGUAAAAGGAAAGCAUGUCCUUUACUCAAGUGCAAACCUUGUCUUCUUGGCUACAUGAACGAUAGAAAUGGCUGUCAAACAUGUCAAUGUAGACUACGACGUUGCCCAACCCCAUUGUGCAGAUACAGAUGUCCUAUGGGAUAUGCAAAAACUAAAGACGGAUGUCCAACAUGCUUUUGUCUUAGACACUGACAGAGAACAAAUUCGAAGAGAUUUGAAGACUUUUAAUGAGACUCCUGAACUAUUUUAGGUUAUUCUCCACUUAACUGUCGGUUACAGAAGAUAGAAAUGACGUGGAAAUAAAAAUGAUUUUGUAACAAGUUGUAUUUUUUUUGCUGCAAGUGCAAUGCCUUUUGAACCAUUUUGAGCAUAAUGAAAACACAUUUCAUGAAGUAAUGCUAGGGACUAACUGAUCCAAAAUUACUAUUUAAUUUCAAGUGCUUUCUCGAGGAAUAAUGUUUUAAGAACGAUACUGCAAUGGCAACAUCCAGUUGGUCAUUACACCUGCUGAAUUCUUUAUUUAACGACAAAUUGAUAGUGGGAGUGGUUACAUGCGCACAUAUAAAUAGCUCUGCUCGACUUCUAACACCCUUGCCUAUUUUAUAAAGGCCUUUAACGGUUAUCCUCUGUGUAUAUAGCUACCAAGUUAUUUGCUGAAGAAUCAAUUAUCUACAAAUGUUAUUUUUCUUGUAUUGUCAAAAAUUCUGCUGCAAACCUUUUCCUCCUUAGACUUUAUUUACUCCUGAAAGCUAAUUAGUCUCCACUAAAAAUCCAUUCAGCAAAUUCCGGAAAUAUCUAGUCAUCCGCAAAAAUAUAUUCCCCAAAGAUUUCCUUGGCAAGUAAUUUGCAUCCUAGACAUAUAGCUACCGUAAUGUAUCGUUUAACAACACAUUUGUACAUUAUGACGAUAAUAAUGAUGAUAAUAAUUAUAAACCUAUCCAUACA